AGUGAACGCUGGCGGUAGGCCUAACACACGCAAGUCGAACGGCAGCACAGUAAGAGCUUGCUCUUACGGGUGGCGAGUGGCGGACGGGUGAGGAAUACAUCGGAAUCUACUUUUUCGUGGGGGAUAACGUAGGGAAACUUACGCUAAUGCCGCAUACGACCUACGGGUGAAAGCAGGGGAUCUUCGGACCUUGCGCGAUUGAAUGAGCCGAUGUCGGAUUAGCUAGUUGGCGGGGUAAAGGCCCACCAAGGCGACGAUCCGUAGCUGGUCUGAGAGGAUGAUCAGCCACACUGGAACUGAGACACGGUCCAGACUCCUACGGGAGGCAGCAGUGGGGAAUAUUGGACAAUGGGCGCAAGCCUGAUCCAGCCAUACCGCGUGGGUGAAGAAGGCCUUCGGGUUGUAAAGCCCUUUUGUUGGGAAAGAAAAGCAGCAGGUUAAUACCCCGCUGUUCUGACGGUACCCAAAGAAUAAGCACCGGCUAACUUCGUG
rnacentral:rRNA from 1 species